UGACCUCGGAUGGUAGGAUGCCGAUUA
rnacentral:rRNA from 1 species